rnacentral:rRNA from 1 species
UACAGAGGGUGCGAGCGUUAAUCGGAAUUACUGGGCGUAAAGCGUGCGUAGACGGUUAUUUAAGUCGGAUGUGAAAUCCCCGGGCUCAACCUGGGAAUUGCAUUCGAGACUGAAUAGCUAGGGUACGGUAGAGGGAAGUGGAAUUUCCGGUGUAGCGGUGAAAUGCGUAGAUAUCGUGAAGAACACCCGUGGCGAAGGCGGUUCUCUGGGACGGUACUGACGCUGAGACGCGAAAGCGUGGGGAGCGAACAGG